rnacentral:rRNA from 1 species
CAAUAGCGUAUAUUUAAGUUGUUGCAGUUAAAAAGCUCGUAGUCGGAUUUUGGCUGAGAACGAUCGGUCCGCCGUUAGGUGUGCACUGAUUGGUCUCAGCUUCCUGGUGAGGAGGUGUGCUUCACGGCCACUUAGUCACCGUGGUUACUUUGAAAAAAUUAGAGUGUUCAAAGCGGGCUUACGCUUGAAUAUAUUAGCAUGGAAUAACACCAUAGGACUCCUGUCCUAUUUCGUUGGUCUCGGGACGGGAGUAAUGAUUAAGAGGAACAGUUGGGGGCAUUCGUAUUUCAUUGUCAGAGGUGAAAUUCUUGGAUUUAUGAAAGACGAACUUCUGCGAAAGCAUUUGCCAAGGAUGUUUNCAUUGA